rnacentral:rRNA from 1 species
GAUGAACGCUGGCGGCGUGCUUAACACAUGCAAGUCGGACGGACACAUCGUUUCGGGGUGUGUUAGUGGCAGGACGGGUGCGUAACACGUAGGUAACCUGCCCUGGAGUGGGGAAUAAUUCCGCUAACGCGGGACUAAUACCGCAUAGGCUCGGUAGCGUGAGGCUACUGCGUAAAGCUGAGAGGCGCUUCAGGAUGGGCCUGCGGCGGAUUAGGUAGUUGGUGGGGUAACGGCCUACCAAGCCGAUGAUCCGUAGGGGGCGUGAGAGCGUGGCCCCCCACACUGGCACUGAGAUACGGGCCAGACUCCUACGGGAGGCAGCAGUGAGGAAUAUUGCACAAUGGGCGCAAGCCUGAUGCAGCAACGCCGCGUGCGGGACGACGGCCGUUCGGGUUGUAAACCGUCUUUUCUGAGGGACGAGCGAGGACGGUACCUUAGGAAUAAGUCUCGGCUAACUACGUGCCAGCAGCCGCGGUAAAAACGUAGCGUG